GACGUAGGGUGCAAGCGUUGUCCGGAUUUAUUGGGCGUAAAGAGCUCGUAGGCGGCUUGUUGCGUCGACUGUGAAAACCCGCGGCUUAACCGCGGGCUUGCAGUUGAUACAGGCAGGCUAGAGUUCGGUAGGGGAGACUGGAAUUCCUGGUGUAGCGGUGAAAUGCGCAGAUAUCAGGAGGAACACCGGUGGCGAAGGCGGGUCUCUGGGCCGUAACUGACGCUGAGGAGCGAAAGCGUGGGGAGCGAACAGG
rnacentral:rRNA from 1 species